rnacentral:rRNA from 1 species
GACGAACGCUGGCGGCGUGCUUAACACAUGCAAGUCGAACGGAAAGGCCCUUCUUGUGUGGUGUUCUCGAGUCGCGCACGUGUGUGUAACAUGUGUGUACCCUGCCCUUGACUUUGGUAUCACUUGGGGAAACUGGGUCUAAUACCGUAUGGGAGCUUCUGCUGCAUGGUGGGGUUGGAAAAUUUUCGGCGGUUGGGUGUGGACGCGGGGCUUAUCAGCUUGUUGGUGGGGUAGUGUCUUACAAAGGCUUUGACGGGUAGCCGGCCUGAGAGGGUGACCGGCAACAUUGGGACUGGGAACCGGCCAAGACUCCUCCGGGAGGAAGAAGGGGGGAUUAUUGAACAAUGGUCGAAAGCCUGUUGAGGCAACGCGGCGGGCGGGAGGACGGCCUCGGGGUGGAAAACCGUUUUCGCCAGUGACGAAGCGUGUGUGACGGUAAUGGGUAAAGAAGCACCGGCUAACUACGUG